rnacentral:rRNA from 1 species
AUUGAACGCUGGCGGCAUGCCUUACACAUGCAAGUCGAACGGUAACGCGGGGCAACCUGGCGACGAGUGGCGAACGGGUGAGUAAUAUAUCGGAACGUGCCCAGACGUGGGGGAUAGCUCGGCGAAAGCCGGAUUAAUACCGCAUAAGCUCUGAGGAGGAAAGCGGGGGACCGUAAGGCCUCGCGCGUUUGGAGCGGCCG